CAGUCCGCAGUAUACAAGAGGCAGUGGGGAAUGGCAGGCCCUGUGUCUUGCACAUCCCCUGUCUGAAUGGGAUGCAGGAAGUGAAAGGCUUGUUUGUCCUUAGCCAAGUGUGGAUAGUUCAGGCCUGAUCCUGCCCGGGGCUCAGCAGCACACCCCACUUUCAGUCAAUGUGCAUUGCUGCAUUUAUGAACACUGAAUUUCGUCUGCCAUUUUGUUACCUAGUCACCCACAUCAAGCUGGACCAUGUUUACGCUAGGAAAAAGAUAGACAGAUCGAGGCUGAGAAGUAAAGAAAUGUAUUCAAGGCUGCAUUAAGUCAAUGGCAGAGUUAGAAUAAAACUUAGCAGGCCAUGACUGUCUCAGAUUCACAAUGAACUGUGGUGACUUAUUAUGCAUUAUGGUAGCAACCACUAAGGGAAAAAAACAAGGUUUGUGCUAUAGUAUUUUAAGGACUGUGUUCACAAAGUGUUUAAGUGUGAAAGUUUUAAACUAAUUAAUAUAAUUAAAGUUAUGACUAAAGAGUUUUGCCAUUUAUAUGACCCCUCUUUAAGCGGUUCAAGAAAAGACUGCAGUGCUAAAAUAGCACAAAGUGUAUCUAUUCCUGCUUUGGGGAGUUUUUGUUUAACUAGUGCUUCAUGUGGGGGCUAAUUCAAAUCAGAACAGUUCUUGUCAUAUCUGUAAAAUGAAGGGGAUAGAUAAACCUACAGCAAAGGGAUUGAGAAGAGCGAUCAGCCAACAGGUGCAUAAUAUGUCGGAAAUGUGACGCCUUCAUUUGUAGGCUGCAUCUGUCCCAUGGCCAAUUUUUGUUUGUGUGAUGUGCACAUCCAACACACAGAAUUUCACCCAGUGAAUAGACCAAGUGCUUCAAAGUCUCCUAUUCUACUCACAGGUUAUACUCAACAAAUGUUUGUUGGAUUCAGGGCAGUAAAUAAAAAAUGCAGGAAGAGCAAAAGAGCACAACAGCUAAAACUU